rnacentral:rRNA from 1 species
UGUACCUACGGGGGGCAGCAGUGGGGGAUAUUGCACAAUGGGGGGAACCCUGAUGCAGCGACGCCGCGUGGGUGAAGAAGCGCCUCGGCGCGUAAAGCCCUGUCAGCAGGGAAGAAAAUGACGGCACCUGAAGAAGAAGCCCCGGCUAACUACGUGCCAGCAGCCGCGGUAAUACGUAGGUGGCAAGCGUUGUCCGGAUUUACUGGGUGUAAAGGGCGUGUAGCCGGGCUGACAAGUCAGAUGUGAAAUCCGGGGGCUCAACCCCCGAACUGCAUUUGAAACUGUUGGUCUUGAGUAUCGGAGAG